GCGCUCACUUCGGCAGCAGCACGUGUAGUAAAAUUGGAACGAUACAGAGGACAUUAGCAUGGCCCCUGCGCAAGGAUGAUAUGCAAAUUCGUGAAGCGUUCCAUAUUAAA
rnacentral:snRNA from 1 species